AGGACGAACGCUGGCGGCGUGCUUAACACAUGCAAGUCGAACGAGGUUAUAGGAGAGCUUGCUCGAAUAUAACCGAGUGGCGGACGGGUGAGUAACGCGUGAGCAACCUGUCUCACACAGGGGAAUAACGCAUCGAAAGAUGUGCUAAUACCGCAUAGGACCACGGUUUCGCAUGGGACUGAGGUGAAAGGAGCAAUCCGGUGUGAGGUGGGCUCGCGUCUGAUUAGAUAGUUGGUGAGGUAACGGCCCACCAAGUCAACGAUCAGUAGCCGACCUGAGAGGGUGAUCGGCCACAUUGGGACUGAGACACGGCCCAGACUCCUACGGGAGGCAGCAGUGGGGAAUAUUGGGCAAUGGGCGAAAGCCUGACCCAGCAACGCCGCGUGAAGGAAGAAGGUUUUCGGAUCGUAAACUUCUGUCCUAUAUGAAGAUAAUGACGGUAGUAUAGGAGGAAGCCCCGGCUAACUACGUGCC
rnacentral:rRNA from 1 species